UAGGGAAUAUUGGGCAAUGGGCGCAAGCCUGACCCAGCCAUGCCGCGUGCCGGAAGAAGGCCCUCUGGGUUGUAAACGGCUUUUGACGGGGAAGAAACGACUCUUGCGAGAGGCAUUGACGGUACCCGCAGAAUAAGCACCGGCUAACUCCGUGCCAGCAGCCGCGGUAAUACGGAGGGUGCAAGCGUUGUCCGGAUUUAUUGGGUUUAAAGGGUGCGUAGGCGGUCUGAUAAGUCGGCGGUGAAAGCCCGGGGCUCAACCCCGGAACUGCCAUCGAUACUGUCAGACUUGAGUGUGGUUGAGGGUGGCGGAAUGGGCGGUGUAGCGGUGAAAUGCAUAGAUACCGUCCAGAACCCCGAUUGCGAAGGCAGCUGCCUAAGCCACAACUGACGCUGAGGCACGAAAGCGUGGGGAGCAAACA
rnacentral:rRNA from 1 species